rnacentral:lncRNA from 1 species
CGCAGGGGCGUCGCAGACGUGAAAUCGGGGUAGGGGCCGCGAGUCCCGGUUGAUAUAAACAACAUACGUUGUUUUCGUGUAUGGAAUGGCGCAAAGAAUGAAGGAAGGGAGAUAAAUAGGAAGAAGUUAAUCAAAAAAUUAUCAAGUUAAUCAUGAAGUGACCUGACCCGGCGAAGGACUCUGGGUACACCUCUGUUAAGGUAGCCAGUCCUCUGUCCACGUUGUUGAGACCUGGGACUGAUUGGUCCACCGUAAGCCUACAACGGUCCCUCAUUCUUCCCCAGGUUAGCCCCGUGUCUUGUAUGCGUUUUCUAAAGAGAAACGUGCUGUUUUCUUUAGAGAAGAUGCGGGUAAGCAAAAGUCUUGCCUUACACCAUCAUCAAAGGUCAGCCUCUACAUUCGCAAAGCCGAUCCCUGGAAUUUAUUUGUAUGCCACCCACUUUCCAGAAGGACCUUGGCAAACCUUAUGAGAGGGAUGGAUUCCAUUUAGAGACAGGCUGGCCUCAAUUUGUCAAGCUUCAGUUCCCCAG